GACGUAGGGCGCGAGCGUUGUCCGGAUUUAUUGGGCGUAAAGCGCACGUAGGCGGAUUGUUAAGUCAGGGGUGAAAUCCUGGAGCUCAACUCCAGAACUGCCUUUGAUACUGGCGAUCUCGAGUCCGGGAGAGGUGAGUGGAACUGCGAGUGUAGAGGUGAAAUUCGUAGAUAUUCGCAAGAACACCAGUGGCGAAGGCGGCUCACUGGCCCGGUACUGACGCUGAGGUGCGAAAGCGGUGGGGAGCAAACAGG
rnacentral:rRNA from 1 species